UACGAAGGGGGCUAGCGUUGCUCGGAAUCACUGGGCGUAAAGGGCGCGUAGGCGGCGUUUUAAGUCGGGGGUGAAGGCCUGUGGCUCAACCACAGAAUGGCCUUCGAUACUGGGACGCUUGAGUAUGGUAGAGGUUGGUGGAACUGCGAGUGUAGAGGUGAAAUUCGUAGAUAUUCGCAAGAACACCGGUGGCGAAGGCGGCCAACUGGACCAUUACUGACGCUGAGGCGCGAAAGCAUGGGGAGCGAACAGG
rnacentral:rRNA from 1 species